rnacentral:rRNA from 1 species
UACGUAGGGUGCAAGCGUUAAUCGGAAUUACUGGGCGUAAAGCGUGCGCAGGCGGUUCUAUAAGACAGAUGUGAAAUCCCCGGGCUCAACCUGGGAACUGCAUUUGUGACUGUAGAGCUGGAGUACGGUAGAGGGGGAUGGAAUUCCGCGUGUAGCAGUGAAAUGCGUAGAUAUGCGGAGGAACACCAGUGGCGAAGGCAGCACUCUGGGACGGUACUGACGCUGAGACGCGAAAGCGUGGGGAGCAAACAGG